ensembl:lncRNA
CAGAAAUGAACUAAAUUUCAAUUCUGAUUAGAACUGGAUGUACACAUCUGAAAAGUGAGUGCAUUACGACUGUCAAGUUUAUUGCUGAAAAGUAACUUUUGCCUUUUACGAAUCUCAGUUUAUUUGACCAUAAUUGAUUUUUAUUCCUUUCAUUUUUUUUUUCCAGUGUGUUGCUUUUGGAUGAUGAAUAUCGAUCAAGUGCUGUGUGAGCUGGUGCACAGAUCUGUUACUUCCAUGUGCUCCUGUGGAAUACACUGGUUAAGGAGCAAGCCCACGUGACAGUGCAGACCAGAGGAGUGCCUUGGUGGCAGGUGAUGAGGAAAUGAGAGAAGAAAUGCAGAAAGCCACUUGACAGAGACAGGAGCUCCCUUAUAGGUACUGGCUCAUGCAUUUGAUAUAAAUGGAAAAAAAAAGAUUCAAAUGGAAAAGCUUGGUAAGAGUGAAAAAGAGCAUGUUCUGAGAUUUAAAAUGUAACUAACAUGUUUAAUUGUGUGGGUUGAACUUGCUCUUCAGCCAGAUGUCUGUGAAGGUACCAGACCUCUUAGUGGCUUUUUUUUUUCCUGGUUGGCCUGAAGCAGACUCUUCCCACUUCAAUCUGAAAGUGACUUUCUGUUCCUUGUGGUGGCUAUAGGUUUAAAUUAAGAAGUCCAGCCCUCUGAUGUCUGUCCAGUCUUAAAGUAAUUCAGUGAGCCUGCCGGAUUUUUGCUCUAUGUAAUUCAGCAAUACUGCUUUUCUCUUGCUAAGCUUCAAAGUAGCUGUUAAGCUUCAAAGUAGCUGAGCAUCUCAGGCAGUUUACUAGUACAGUGUCAGAAGUCCUGGGUUGUAUGGAGCAUUGUGCUAUUCUAUAGAACAUAGCUUAAAGUAAAACGCAGACAAUGCUUCUAUAAGCCCUUUGUGCUGGGAAUAUAAAUACUUGAAAGAAUUACGAGGCUGCUGAAAUUGAUGGAAUUUCUUUUCCCUCUUCGUUGCAUGGCAACUUCUGUGAAAUUGGUACUUCAGCUUAUCGCUGCCUGGUGUAUGGACAGCUUGAACCUUAACGUGCAUUUGUUGACUGAGGACUGCUGCGUCUGUUGCACUGAAUGGUAUCUGCACCCAGCAGCGUUCUUCUGAUGGGGUGUUCAAAAACCAGUGCUACAGUAAUUCAGCAUUUGGCAUCGUUGGUUUUCACUCUGCAGUGGUUGUUAAACCUGGUAUUCUUGCUGAUACAGGUGCUGCCCUCUUCAAGGAUUUGAGCGCAGUCCUUUUAUGUCGGGUAGGACUUGUCAGUGUGAGCUGCCCACUGGUUCUCCCUCGUGCUCAGUUUGUUUCUUUAAACAGGUGCCUUGGGAUACACAACAGUCAGUUGGCUGUGGAAGAGGAAACAAAGUGUUGGACAGGUAAGCACUGAGUUCUCAGUUCAGAAGGUUUCAGGCAACUUGAUGGAAGCUCGGUUGCUAAUGUAUGACUCUAGAAGAUCAAAACUUCCAUAAACUGUCUAGAAACAUAGAAAUGACUGUCCAGUAGCAGGCAGUCCUGGGCAGCACUCCAGAUUUUGGCAGUAUCUGGGUCAGGGUGUCUACCUGCAGGCUAGUCUUAAAUGCAUGUAAAAGCAGUGGUAAAGGGAGAGAGGAUCUGGUCAUUACCAAGGCUGCAAGGAUAUUGCUGUUCCUGGUGAGCUGUGGACAUGACCAUAAAGCAAGUCCAUCAGACUCUUGAAUUGCUGCGUUGUGUGGCAGUAGGUCUGCUGGGAAUAAAGCUUUGGUGUAGGCCACAGACACAGCACUCCCUUCUGCUGGGUGUUAGCGGCUCUCUUUGGCUGCCAAGGAACUAAAGUGCUAGCUAGAAUCUUCAGCUGUUGAACACAAGCUCCAGAAGCUGCUGUUGACAGAACUGUCAUGCGUUCAAAAUGGAGAAUGAAAGGCUGCUCCUUGCACUUAGCAUCCAACUUCAGUUUAAUUCUUUUAUACUAACUACUGUGCCUUUGUGUACCCAGAGUCUGCUGCUGUCACUGAAUGGCAGGGGGUGAGAAGUUGUACCUGAGUGCUGCCACAGUAAGUCUGUAGGUAAGAUGCUUAGCAGCAGUGCUGGUACCCACAAGAAAUUCAAGGUCGCUUCAAAGAGGGUUUGCAUGGCUGGAGAACCAGCAGCUCUUAACGCAGUGACCGUACAUUGAACUCCUUUCAGCAGGAUGCUGUAGCCACUUUGUGUGUGCUGUGGUCUAUUUCAGAGGAGACAAUUCUUAAGUUAUAUUGCUGCUUGGAAUGAGAAACCACCUGUAGCUUCUGCCCUGUCACUUUUUGAAUUGCUAAUGCAGGCAGAAUGCUACUUGAUUUCAUCUGCAACCAGCUGACUUCAGCAGCAUGUGGAGUUGGAAGAGAAUAUUCAUACAGUUGUGGCAUGAUGAGUUGUUCUUGUAUCUUUUAAUGCUUUUUUCUUCUGCUUGAGUGUAUGGCAUGUUCUUGUGACUGCAUGGAAACAGAUAAUCUCAAAUAGGUGGGGAAGUGGACAGUAGUGUUGAACUGGAAUAUUAUGGAUAGAGUGCAUAUAGGAAACUAAUCAGAGCUACCAUGCAAAAUGAUACUUUCUGCCCCUAAAGAGUUUAGUAAGGGACUUAUAUAUGUGUGCCUGCAUUACUGCUGUUACAUUGGCACCAUGUUACAAAGUUAAGUUCCUUCAGCCUAUAGGAAGGCAGUAACUCAGAGUGCUUUUCUUUCUCUUGAAUUAUGGUGCUAACUAUUUUUUCUUCUCCCAGGUCCUGAUGUGAUGUUGCUGCAAGUCUCUUGCAAGAAAGAAAAGGACAGCUCUUAAAUGCUCUUAAACACUCCUAUUUCUUGUAAUAAUUGAGAAUGUUAAAUAUUUUAACUUCACUGCCCUGUAAGUUGAAUUAGUGGAUCAAGGUGUGGUUGUACUAGGAAAGGGUUAUCAACUGUGUUCCAACUGUUCAAGUGUGGAGAGGGGGCUGUUUACUUCAUACAGAAUGUAACAUUCAAAUAAAACUGAUUCCUGAAAGAAGCAGCUGCAGCCAGGGAAUUAUUUUGUACUGCUACACUGCAAGCCAACACAGGUGUAAAGCUAAAGCAGGGAUUUAGCUUUAGCUAAAUCUUAAAUGCUAAAGCCUCUAGAAAAACAGACAGUAAAGGUGAGAGAGCCUGCACACUGCAACUAGCCCUCUUCCUUCAGCUCUUUGUCCUGUACUGUUUGUUUAGGGGGAGUUGUAACAGUUUGGGUCUCUUCAGCAAUUGCAGUACCUCUAACUACAGUGGGGACUGAAAUGUAUGUUUAAUUAUUCUAUGCU